UGAGUUUGAUCAUGGCUCAGGAUGAACGCUAGCGGAAGGCUUAACACAUGCAAGUCGAGGGGUAACAUUAGAGCUUGCUCUAGAUGACGACCGGCGCACGGGUGAGUAACGCGUAUACAACCUGCCUAUUACACAGGAAUAGCCCAUGGAAACGUGGAUUAAUGCCUGAUAGUUUUAUAAAGUCGCAUGAUUUAAUAAAUAAAGAAUUUCGGUAAUAGAUGGGUAUGCGUAACAUUAGCUAGUUGGUAAGGUAACGGCUUACCAAGGCGACGAUGUUUAGGGGGUCUUAAAGGAUGAUCCUCCACACUGGUACUGAGACACGGACCAGACUCCUACGGGAGGCAGCAGUGAGGAAUAUUGGUCAAUGGACGGAAGUCUGAACCAGCCAUUCCGCGUGAAGGACUACGGUUCUAUGGAUUGUAAACUUCUUUUCUACAGGAAGAAUAAGGCUCUCGUGAGGGCUGAUGACUGUACU
rnacentral:rRNA from 1 species